rnacentral:lncRNA from 1 species
GGUGAUCUCAGAGUAUUUAGGAAUGUGUCAACCAUCUCAUUAUCACUCAUAAUAGACUUUCCUUGAACAACAUUCUUUCCACCUUUGGGUAUACUCUUUGAAUGAUUUUGACUGCUUUUUCACCAUACUUUGUAGUUGUAAUCCAUGAGAUGUCACAUUCGUGUUAUAUUCGAAAUGCUUCAAGAAAACAUCCAUCAGAUCCUCCUAAUACUGGAUGCACUAAGGUUCAAGAUGAUGGCCUCAAUUAAUGCCAUGUCAGACAAUCUACCUUGGAAGAAAUGAAUUAGCAACUUUUCAUCAUAUGCACACACAGUCGUUUUCUUGUCAUACGCCAUGAGAUGAGUCUUAAGGCAAAUGGUCCCUCUAUAUUUCUCACCUUUGGAAAAUUUAAACUUUUGAAUGUAUCAUCAGAUCUGGGACUAAGCAAGCCUUGCAACCUUUUCAGACCUAGCGCUUCAUUCACCUUCUAUGGUUGUCAUCCUUUUUCAGCAUUUCAGAUUUACCCAUGUCAACCUCAACAUCCACUAGUGUGCAAACAGGGCAAGAAUAUUUCAACUCAGAUUGCAUUGUCAUCGUCAUGCUCACAAUACUUGAUUAAAGCAUUCUCCUAGGGACCAUGAAAGUGGUUGCCCCAAGCUUGUUUUCCACUUCAACUUCGUUAUCUUCUGCCUUUCGAGUGUGAACUUGCCCCAAGUACGCUCCUGAGGGUGAAGUAUAAUUUAGGG